CUACCUCUCUUUCUCGUUUCUCUUCCUCUCUGGUUCUCUUCUUAUCUUCCUCACUCUCUAUGAUUCGAUGUUCUUUUCCUAUCAUAAUAAGUCGCUUGUGAAUUAGUAUUAGGUUUUGCGUCCUCUUCUUCUUCAAAUAGAUCCAUCACAAUGAAAUUCUUAGACCUAUAGUUUUAAGAUUUCUCUUAUCUAUGAAUAAAUCUAAGGUUCUUAGAAAGAUUUCAUUAUUUCGCGAGGUUUGCUUGGAAUAAUGAAAAUACUUACUUUGGUUGGUGUUGAAAGGGUUUUGAAUGAACCACUUCAACAACUUGAUGAGAAACAACUUAUAAGAUGAAAAAUCAAUGAACAAGAAGAAGACUUCUGAAACUUCUAAAGUAUUAACUCAGAGGCAACAGGUGUUCUAAGGUAGACUUGGAGGAGGAAAAGAAUCUUUAUGAAAACGUAGAGACUCUGUUUGAAGUGACUGAGAAGCUAUAGUAUAAUGAAUGCAAGUUGUACAAUUCAGGUCUUAUCACUUUAGAUGAUUGUUGGAAUGAAGAAAUUGAACCCAUGAUCGAGAUUGGUGGAAAUUUUUCUGCUAAUUCAGCCUACAAUGCUUUUAUACCUGAUGGGAUCGCAAAGGUUGGAGCAGAUUCAAGUCAUGGAAGGAGUUCCAAGUUAAUCAAGUGUGUAAAAUUUCCUGGUGAAAUAGCAUGUUGAUACCUGCAUAAGGAGUGUGUUUGUGCAUGUCUUUUCCUUAAGGAAGCAUGGAUACCAAAUAGUUUAUGUCUGACAUAUCUUGCAUCUGUACUGUAGACACUGUGUGCGUCCCACCUCUUAUAAAUAACAUAAAAGCUUGACGUAUCUUCAAACAA